rnacentral:rRNA from 1 species
UGGGGAAUAUUGGACAAUGGGCGAAAGCCUGAUCCAGCAAUGCCGCGUGAGUGAUGAAGGCCUUAGGGUUGUAAAGCUCUUUUACCCGGGAAGAUAAUGACUGUACCGGGAGAAUAAGCCCCGGCUAACUCCGUGCCAGCAGCCGCGGUAAUACGGAGGGGGCUAGCGUUGUUCGGAAUUACUGGGCGUAAAGCGUACGUAGGCGGCUUGGUAAGUUAGAGGUGAAAGCCUGGGGCUCAACCCCAGAAUUGCCUUUAAGACUGCCUCGCUUGAACGUCGGAGAGGUGAGUGGAAUUCCGAGUGUAGAGGUGAAAUUCGUAGAUAUUCGGAAGAACACCAGUGGCGAAGGCGGCUCACUGGACGACUGUUGACGCUGAGGUACGAAAGCGUGGGGAGCAAACAGG